rnacentral:rRNA from 1 species
ACAGAGGUCUCAAGCGUUGUUCGGAUUCAUUGGGCGUAAAGGGUGUGUAGGCGGCGCCGUAAGUCAGGUGUGAAAUCUCGGGGCUUAACUCCGAAACUGCAUUUGAUACUGCGGUGCUUGAGGACUGGAGAGGAGACUGGAAUUCAUGGUGUAGCAGUGAAAUGCGUAGAGAUCAUGAGGAAGACCAGUGGCGAAGGCGGGUCUCUGGACAGUUCCUGACGCUGAGACACGAAGGCCAGGGGAGCAAACGGGA